ensembl:lncRNA
AGCCUGAUGGCGAGCCCGAGAGAGCCGUGCAGACAGGCCUCGAGCCCCGGAGCCCUUCUCUCCGGGGCAGUAGAGCCCCAAAGUGCUGCUUCUGCUCAUGGUGAGACCGAGUCUCGGGGAGAAGGGACUUCUCUACUGCUUCUCAUGGGGCGCCCCCAAUGACUGGCCUCGGUGACCCCGACGGGCUCCCUCCACACGUGGAGGACCUUCUCUCUGGCUGCACAGAAGCCAAGAGGGAGGCUCAGCCAUCUCUGGAGGGAGACCAUGGAGGGGCAGCCUCUGGAACAACCCAGGUCCUCUGGGAGGUCCCCUGAGGGCGACCUGGUGUGGUCCAAAGAGACCCCCAGGGACAGCUCCUCCGUGAGCCGCGUCCUUCCUUGUUCCGGGCCGCCAGGGACAAUGAUCGGGGACCCACGCGGUGCCUGAGAUGGAGCCAAUGUGGACCUGGGCCAGGCGGAGAGAGGCCGCCUGGGAGGGCAGCGCUUCAGAGCCUCCUUGGCAGCAGGAAGCUCCCGAGGGAGGAUGCUGUGGACUGGCUGCCUGCCUGGUGGUCAGGCUGGCUCCUUCUGGUUUGCUUCUAGCCAUCUGGACUCCUUCCGCCAGCCGCCUCCCCAUAUAUAGACCCGAGAGACCCGGGACCGGCUACUCCUGGGAUCUCGGCAAGCAGGACUCGGGGUCCCAAGUGGCCAGGUGAGAGCCCCGCCGGCCCCUCUGAAUGGCCAGCCUCGAGUUCUCCUGCGGGUGCUGAGGAGGGCGAGCCACGAAGGAGGACCCAAAGCCUCCCCCCGUAGGGCCGCUCACUGGUUCUGGGAGCCCUCCCAUCCCGGGGAAGGCCUGACUCCCACUUAGAUCCCGGCUGGAGGGCUGGGGCUGGGGGAGGGGGAGCCCCGAGACGCCCUCCCCAGUCUCAGGCAGCUUCGGGUCUGGGGGGUCUCCCUGUAGGAGGAUGGGGCUGAUCUCGGACCUUCCCUGCCUCUUGUCUGGCUGUCUGCUGCUCAGCACUCUUGGGGAAGGCGCUGUGGCCAACAAGACGAGCACCCGGAGCAGGUGCCCUCCCGACUACGUCUACAUCAGUGGCUGGUGCUAUGUCGCCUUUGGGGACCUCCUCAGCUGGUCAGAAGCUUACCUCGAAUGCGCGAGGCUGACAGAAGGCGCUUCCCUGGCGACCAUUAGAAAUGAGCAGGACCAGCAGAUCUUGGGCCACCUGCUGGCCAGCACCACGGCCAGGAAGCAGGCCUGGAUCGGCCUCCGAAGAUCCAACGGUUAUCGCUGGGUGUGGGUCGACGGGAGCAGAUUCAGGUUGCAGCCCUUCGAUCUCCUGCCCUGGUCCGCAGGGUACGACUGCGCCGUGCUGGACACCAGCGGAGACUCACCAACUUGGGUGGCAGAGUCCUGCAGCAAUAAAAACUCCUUCAUCUGUCAAAUGCCCACCUAGAAAAGCUGAGUGGAGCCUGAGACUCAAUGGCCAGGGAACUAAAGUCUUCCCCGAGCUUCUGGCUACUGAGGCACAGUGUGUCUGCUUUUUCUCCAUUAAAACCUUCGUUUUUCCUCCUGGAGGUGUUUGUAUGGGCAGACUCUCCAGGUCUUUCAUUUCUUUCUUUCAUCCCAAGUCCCCAGUGAAAUUCUCUGUGAUCCAAUAA